rnacentral:rRNA from 1 species
UGAGGAAUAUUGCACAAUGGGCGCAAGCCUGAUGCAGCAACGCCGCGUGCGGGACGAAGGCCUUCGGGUCGUAAACCGCUUUUCUGGGGAAAGAGCAAGGACGGUACCUCAGGAAUAAGUCUCGGCUAACUACGUGCCAGCAGCCGCGGUAAAACGUAGGAGGCGAGCGUUAUCCGGAUUUACUGGGCGUAAAGCGCACGCAGGCGGCUCUGUGAGUCGGACGUGAAAGCUCCCGGCUUAACCGGGAGAGGCCGUUCGAUACUGCGGGGCUUGAGGUAGGGAGAGGAAUGCGGAAUUCCCGGUGUAGUGGUGGAAUGCGUAGAUAUAGGGAGGAACACCUGUGGCGAGAGCGGCAUUCUGGCCCUCACCUGACGCUGAGGGGCGAAAGCGUGGGUAGCAAACGG